rnacentral:rRNA from 1 species
AACGAACGCUGGCGGCAUGCCUAACACAUGCAAGUCGAACGAGACCUUCGGGUUUGGUGCCGCACGGGGGCGUAACGCGGUGGAACCUGCCUUUAAGUUCGGAAUAACUUGCGGAAAAGGGUGCGAAAACGGGAUAUAAUCCUCGGUACAAAGAUUGAUCGCCUUUGGAGGGGCCGGCGUUGGAUUAGUUAGUUGUGAGGGUAAAAGCCUACAACAGCGUCGAGCCAUAGAUGGUUUGAGAGGAUGGUCAGCCACACUGGUACGGAGACACGGCCCAGACUACUGCACGAUGGGGGAAUGGGUGAUAUAGGACUGUCGGCGGAAGGCAGAUGCACCAAUGCCGCGUGAGUGAUGAAAGCCUUGGGGUAGUAAAGCACUUUUACCCGGGAUGGUAAUGACGGUACCGGGAGAAUAAGCACCGGCUAACUUCGUG